rnacentral:tRNA from 1 species
GCCGGAGUGGUGGAAUUGGUAGACGCGCUAGGUUCAGGACCUAGUGGGAGUAAUCCCGUGGGGGUUCGAGUCCCCCCUCCGGCA